UACGUAGGGUGCGAGCGUUGUCCGGAAUUACUGGGUGUAAAGGGUUCGUAGGCGGUGUGGCAAGUCGGGAGUGAAAUCUCUGGGCUCAACUCAGAGACUGCUUCCGAAACUGCUGUGCUGGAGUGUGGGAGAGGCGCGUGGAAUUGCAGGUGUAGCGGUGAAAUGCGCAGAUAUCAGGAGGAACACCGGUGGCGAAGGCGGGUCUCUGGGCCGAUACUGACGCUGAGGAGCGAAAGCGUGGGGAGCGAACAGG
rnacentral:rRNA from 1 species